GGGGGGGGGGGGGGGGGGGCGGGGCGGGGGCGGGGCGAGCGAGGCGUGCGGGGGGGGUGGCGCGCGGGGGCGGGACGCGGGGGGACCGGCCCGUAGGGGCGGAAUAACGCCCCGAAAGGGGUGCUAAUACCGGAUAAUGGCCUCGGACCAAAGAUUUAUCGCCUUUGGAUGGGCCCGCGUUGGAUUAGCUAGUUGGUAGGGUAAAAGCCUACCAAGGCGACGAUCCAUAGCUGGUCUGAGAGGAUGAUCAGCCACACUGGGACUGAGACACGGCCCAGACUCCUACGGGAGGCAGCAGUGGGGAAUAUUGGACAAUGGGCGAAAGCCUGAUCCAGCAAUGCCGCGUGAGUGAUGAAGGCCUUAGGGUUGUAAAGCUCUUUUACCCGGGAUGAUAAUGACAGUACCGGGAGAAUAAGCUCCGGCUAACUCCGUG
rnacentral:rRNA from 1 species